CAAUGGCGGCUUGCCUAUACAUGCAAGUCGAGCGGACCGACGGGAGCUUGCUCCCUUAGGUCAGCGGCGGACGGGUGAGUAACACGUGGGUAACCUGCCUGUAAGACUGGGAUAACUCCGGGAAACCGGGGCUAAUACCGGAUGCUUGAUUGAACCGCAUGGUUCAAUCAUAAAAGGUGGCUUUUAGCUACCACUUGCAGAUGGACCCGCGGCGCAUUAGCUAGUUGGUGAGGUAACGGCUCACCAAGGCGACGAUGCGUAGCCGACCUGAGAGGGUGAUCGGCCACACUGGGACUGAGACACGGCCCAGACUCCUACGGGAGGCAGCAGUAGGGAAUCUUCCGCAAUGGACGAAAGUCUGACGGAGCAACGCCGCGUGAGUGAUGAAGGUUUUCGGAUCGUAAAACUCUGUUGUUAGGGAAGAACAAGUACCGUUCGAAUAGGGCGGCACCUUGACGGUACCUAACCAGAAAGCCACGGCUAACUACGUGCCAGCAGCCGCGGUAAUACGUAGGUGGCAAGCGUUGUCCGGAAUUAUUGGGCGUAAAGCGCGCGCAGGCGGUUUCUUAAGUCUGAUGUGAAAGCCCCCGGCUCAACCGGGGAGGGUCAUUGGAAACUGGGGAACUUGAGUGCAGAAGAGGAGAGUGGAAUUCCACGUGUAGCGGUGAAAUGCGUAGAGAUGUGGAGGAACACCAGUGGCGAAGGCGACUCUCUGGUCUGUAACUGACGCUGAGGCGCGAAAGCGUGGGGAGCGAACAGGAUUAGAUACCCUGGUAGUCCACGCCGUAAACGAUGAGUGC
rnacentral:rRNA from 1 species